rnacentral:rRNA from 1 species
UACGAAGGGGGCUAGCGUUGCUCGGAAUCACUGGGCGUAAAGCGCACGUAGGCGGAUCUUUAAGUCAGGGGUGAAAUCCCGGAGCUCAACUCCGGAACUGCCUUUGAUACUGGGGAUCUUGAGUUCGAGAGAGGUGGGUGGAACUGCGAGUGUAGAGGUGAAAUUCGUAGAUAUUCGCAAGAACACCAGUGGCGAAGGCGGCUCACUGGCUCGAUACUGACGCUGAGGUGCGAAAGCGUGGGGAGCAAACAGG